CUCUUUCUAGAGGAAAGCGCUUCUGUCUGGCUCAGAAUAAAUCAGAUGCCAGAAGAGUAAUUAUGCGUAUUGAUGUAUUCUAUCCAUUAUUUUAUUACAGUUGUUUGUAUGCAAUCCCAUCUGUGUGCGUGUAAACUGGCGAAACUGAACAUUGGAGCGAGGGAAAACGUUUCUGAUGACGUAGAACUUCAAACUUUAGGCGCCGAGAUUGAGAACGAAGACCGAGAACAAAGAGGAACUUGAAGAAUCAGCAUGUGACGACGGAUAUUGAAAUGCAGUCAUCCUUAUCCAGAAAACUGAGGCAUUUAAUAGAAGGAAAAGAAACUAUAGGGAAAAAGAAGAGGGCAUGUAGAAAACAUACACACAGAGGAAAGAAAGUUACCAGAAUUAUACGAACAAAAUCUCAGUUUGCAGGAUCGAAAUCAAGUUUGUUCAGCUGGAUGAAGUUUGUUUACAGAUUCGCUCAAGGUCUUCGAUUGAGACAAAUUGAUACGAUUGAAGAUGGGAUAGCUAAAAACAGCUGUACAUUAUCCACAAUGGCAAAACGGCUGCGAGUCAUUUGCUCCACAGCCAUAAAAGCCCACAAGGAGAAGAAUAAAAUGAAGAUUGGAGGAUGCCAAUCUUAUAUUGUCCUUGAUGAAAGCAAGUUUGCUCACAAACGUAAGGUAACUUUGAUCAAAGACUGUUCAUUUGUAAAGUCACUUAAAGUGUAUUAAAGAAAAACCUCAGUGAAAUACAGUAUUUUUGUACUUAUGCUUAUAGUAUGAGCAGUCAAAUAUUUUAAGCGUUUGACUGUUUUCCUAGGUGUUUCGAUGGCAGGGAGCACUCUAAAUUACUACUGGAAAAAAGACUAUAGGUUGUAUAGUAUCGUACUCCUUUGCAAUAUGAUUUUUUAAAUACACUUAAAAAAUAAAUAAAAAGGAGGGUAUUCUGUGCAGACAGUUUUAGAAGGUGCAACUUUUGGUAAACUAUUUCAUUAACAACACAGGGACUUCUACUUGUGUUUCUUCUGUGAAUAUCAUUAUGAAUAUAUGGGAUAUUAGUACCAUCUAGUGAUUAAAAGACUGAUAAUUGCUUUUGUUGUCAGAUCUUAAAUUAAAGUUGCAUUGAUUUCUUAGACACACCUUCCUAGUACUCAGUACUAGUACAAUUAAAAUACAUGUUUUCUUGACCUGAAAAAGGGCACAAGUGAAUGCAUCACGAUACUGAGUAAUAUUGCUGAUGUAAACCCUAUGUACAAUCCUCAAUUGCCUCUAAAUUGACUUUUAAUACAGUGAUCGUCAAUCAUUAAACAGUAACCACCAUGUAUAUUUUAAAACCAUAUAUUGUUUGUUACUUAAACAUUUUUUGAGUAAUCAUGUACAUGAUCAUACUAACCUAUUGCAAUAAUAUUUAUGGUAUAAAUUAAUGUUUAAAAAUGCAGUAGUCCAGGUGUGUGUACACCAUGUACCACAUAUUGGUUGAUUACAACAGUUAGAACAAAAAAAAGACUUAAAAGAAAGUGGUCUCUGAGUCCCAGACUCCCAUAUACAGGACCUGCUGGAAUGAACAUUAAAAAAGAAGGUUAUUGAAAGAUAUAAGAAGGGCAACUAAGUACAUUUUAAAAAGAAAUGUAAAGAUCUUUUUGUCAAAUUAAUAACUUCAGGGAUGCAAAGAC